GAACCUGCGGAAGGAUCAUUAUCGAGUUUUGAAAGGGGUUGUAGGCUGGCCUUCCGAGGCAUGUGCACGCCCUGCUCAAUCCACUCUACACCUGUGCACUUACUGUGGGUUUUUGGAUGUUGAAAAAAAAAAAAAGGCAUCUGGAACCUACGUUAUAUAUUACAAACUCUUAUAAGUAACAGAACGUGUAUUUGCGAUGUGUAACGCAUAUCCUAUAUACAACUUUCAGCAACGGAUCUCUUGGCUCUCGCAUCGAUGAAGAACGCAGCGAAAUGCGAUAAGUAAUGUGAAUUGCAGAAUUCAGUGAAUCAUCGAAUCUUUGAACGCACCUUGCGCUCCUUGGUAUUCCGAGGAGCACGCCUGUUUGAGUGUCAUGAAAUUUCAACCUACAAAGUCUUUGCAGAUUUUGUAGGCUUGGACUUGGAGGCUUUGUUGUCGGCUUGCAUAUUUAUUGUUAGUCGGCUCCUCUCAAAUACAUUAGCUUGAUUCCUUGCGGAUCGGCUCUCGGUGUGAUAAUUGUCUACAUCGUGACCGUGAAGCAUUUUGGCGAGCUUCUAGUCGGUCUCUUAUGAGACAAGUCAAACUGACAUCUGACCUCAAAUCAGGUAGGACUACCCGCUGAACUUAAGCAUAUCAAUAAGCGG
rnacentral:rRNA from 1 species